AAUCAACGCUGGCGGCGUGCCUCAGACAUGCAAGUCGAACGAUUAAAGCUCUCUUCGGAGAGUGUAUAGAGUGGCGCACGGGUGAGUAACACGUAAGUAAUCUACCCUCGAGUGGGGAAUAACAACCGGAAACGGUUGCUAAUUACCGCAUAAUGCAGCGGCACCGCAAGGUGACAGUUGUUAAAGAUUUAUCGCUUGAGGAGGAGCUUGCGGCAGAUUAGCUAGUUGGUAGGGUAACGGCUUACCAAGGCUACGAUCUGUAACCGGUCUAAGAGGACGGUCGGUCACACUGACACUGAAUAACGGGUCAGACUCCUACGGGAGGCAGCAGUCGGGAAUUUUGGGCAAUGGGCGAAAGCCUGACCCAGCAACGCCGCGUGAAGGAUGAAGUAUUUCGGUAUGUAAACUUCGAAAGAAUAGGAAGAAUUAAUGACGGUACUAUUUAUAAGGUCCGGCUAACUACGUG
rnacentral:rRNA from 1 species